UUUCCGUAGGCGAACCUGCGGAAGGAUCAUUAUUGUAUAACCGAGGUGCGAGGGCUGUCGCUGACCCGAAAGGUCGUGCACGCCCGAGUGCCCUCACACACAUCCAUCUCACCCCUAUGUGCACCACCGCGUGGGUCCCCCUUUGGCUUGUUCGGAGGGGGGCUUACGUUUUCACACAAACUUUGUAUGCAGUGUAGAAUGUAUUUUUUGUUUUUGCGAUCACGCAAUCAAUACAACUUUCAACAACGGAUCUCUUGGCUCUCGCAUCGAUGAAGAACGCAGU
rnacentral:misc_RNA from 1 species